UGGACUCUUACGGACGGAGGGAGAAGU
rnacentral:piRNA from 1 species